rnacentral:lncRNA from 1 species
UUCAGCAAAUUUUGCCUACGUCCUCGGGCACUACCAAAUAUAUUUCACUCCAAAAUACAAGUGAGAAUUUACAAAGAGAGAGAGAGAAAACAAUGCCUUAAGUAGAGAAUGGCAAGUUUGAGAUACAGAAUGAGAGAUGGUUAUGCCUAUUUAUAGUUGAGGUUCAGGGAUCAACUUGCAAAGUCACUUUACAAUUUAGGGAG